rnacentral:piRNA from 1 species
UUAGUAGAGAUGGGGCCCAUGCCACCA